rnacentral:rRNA from 1 species
GUCCGCGCCGUAAACGAUGAACACUUGGUGUUGGAGGUAUUGACCCCUUCAGUGCCGAAGCUAACGCGUUAAGUGUUCCGCCUGGGGAGUACGGUCGCAAGAUUAAAACUCAAAGAAAUUGACGGGGGCCCGCACAAGCGGUGGAGCAUGUGGUUUAAUUCGAUGCAACGCGAAGAACCUUACCUGGCCUUGACAUCUAGUGGAAGACUCUCAGAAAUGAGGUCGCCUUCGGGCCGCUAGACAGGUGCUGCAUGGCUGUCGU